UACGUAGGGGGCAAGCGUUGUCCGGAUUUACUGGGCGUAAAGAGCGCGCAGGCGGUCGUUCAAGUCGCGUGUGAAAGCCCCCGGCUCAACUGGGGAGGGUCACGCGAUACUGAUCGACUCGAAGGCAGGAGAGGGUAGUGGAAUUCCCGGUGUAGUGGUGAAAUGCGUAGAUAACGGGAGGAACACCAGUGGCGAAGGCGACUACCUGGCCUGUUCUUGACGCUGAGGAGCGAAAGCUAGGGGAGCAAACGGG
rnacentral:rRNA from 1 species